rnacentral:lncRNA from 1 species
ACCCCGUAGGUCCAGAAAAUCAGUCUUUUAGGACUUAGCCAAAUUUUCAGCCUCUUUCCGUUUCUUCUCCGUUUUCGCUCGUUUUCACUUAUUUGGCCUCCGAUUCUUUUCAAAUCGCAUCGAGACUCUCAAAACAUAUUUUCGAGCGCGUUUAAACCAUAUUUUCAUCCACGCUAACGCCGGAUUUAGUUCUCGGUCCAACAUAACCUUUCAGAUUUCAUUUUCGCGCCCAACGCGCCCCGAAAACACUCGAAUGCUCCCGAACUUCACCGGAACCUUUUUAAUGGCUUCUCUAACCUAGCAUACUCCGCAACUUCAUAACUUUAGAAGUUCGGUAUGCUACAAAUACCAAUAAUGAACUAUACCAACUAAUUAUAUGUCAACAAAUUGAUCUACAUAUAACCAAUAUAAUCACAUUUUAAACAUAAUAAGCAUUUUAUCAUUUUCGGUAAA